AUGGCGGAUGCACCUCCGUACAAGCAGCGCCGCAAGUACACCAGGGGGCUCCACGACGUCCACCUCCACGACAAUCACAAGCUCCACGUCCUUUGCACAAGCAAGGGUAAAGACAUGGACAAGAUGUUGUCCACGUUCAGGAGGAAGCUUGGCAGAAUGCCCGUCAAACUAGUCGGCGUUGAUGUCGAGUACACACACUACGAGAAGCCACAGCGUGCAGCGGUGCUACAGCUAUGCGUAGAAAAAGAAUGCCUUGUCUACCACAUAUCUGCAGCUAAAGACAGGCCAAUGGAACUAGACAAAUUCCUAAUGAAUGAUGAGUACACCUUCGUCGGAUUGGCUAUUGAAGGAGACAAAAGCAAGCUGAAGGUAUCUGGUUUGGAGAUCAACGCCGACAACUACAUCGAUAUUCAGGUGGAAUGGAGAGACCCAUACAAUAAAGAGAAGUUUGACUCUUUGGCUAAUGUUGCUGGCAGGAUGAUAGACAUUCACUACCAGGACAUGAAGAAAAAAAAUUAA
rnacentral:rRNA from 1 species